CGGGAAGUGGGGCGACGUUUGCUAUCGCGUCUUGCCAGCGGAUGGGAGAAUCAUGCGGUAUCCAUUACAAGAGGUGGAGCAGGAUCGUGGCCCUUUAUCGUGGCCUGUCAGGUAGUAAUGGAGCCGCGUGGGAUCCGUCGUAGGGAGUGGAACAGUGUGACGAUCGUUACUGCGGCUUGUUAGGGGGUGAUGGAGCUGCGC
rnacentral:lncRNA from 1 species